CCCUAUGGGGUGCAGCAGGCGCGAAACCUCCACAAUUCACGCAAGUGAGAUGGGGUUACCUCGAGUGCCGCCUGAAGAAGGUGGCUUUUCCAUGGUGUAAUGAGCCGUGGGAAUAAGGGGGGGGCAAGACUGGUGUCAGCCGCCGCGGUAACACCAGCCCCCCGAGUGGUGGGGAUGAUUAUUUGGCCUAAAGCGUCCGUAGCCGGCCCGGUAAAUCUCUCGUUAAAUCCAGCGUCCCAAGCGUUGGGCUGCGAGGGACACUGCCGGGCUAGAGGGUGGGAGAGGUCAGCGGUAUUUCUGGGGUAGGGGCGAAAUCCAUUGAUCCCAGGAGGACCACCAGUGGCGAAGGCUGCUGACUAGAACACGCCUGACGGUGAGGGACGAAAGCUGGGGUAGCGAAUCGGAUUAGAUACCCGAGUAGUCCCAGCCGUAAACGAUGCAGGCUAGGUGUUGGGUUGGCCACGCGCCAGCUCAGUGCCACAGGGAAGCCAUUAAGCCUGCCGCCUGGGGAGUACGGCCGCAAGGCUGAAACUUAAAGGAAUUGGCGGGGGAGCACCACCAGGCGUGAAGCCUGCGGUUUAAUUGGAGUCAACGCCGGGAACCUUACCGGGAGCGACAGCAGAGUGAAGGCCAGGUUGAAGGUCUUGCUGGACGAGCUGAGAAGAGGUGCAUGGGCCAA
rnacentral:rRNA from 1 species